UGUUGGUGAUUCAUAGUAACCUAUUCGAAUCGCUUGUUCGCAAGCGAUGGUUCAUUCAAAUUUCUGCCCUAUCAGCUUUUGAUGGUAGUGUCGUGGACUACCAUGGCUUUAACGGGUGACGGGGGAUCAGGGUUCGAUUCCGGAGAAGGGGCCUGAGAAACGGCCACUACAUCCAAGGAAGGCAGCAGGCGCGCAAAUUGCCCAAUCCUGACCCAGGGAGGCAGUGACAAGAAAUCCUGAUGCUGAGCGCCUUUCGGUGUUUAGCAAUCGGAAUGAGAGGUAGUUAAAUCUAGCUAUCGAAUGCAACUGGAGGGCAAGUCUGGUGCCAGCAGCCGCGGUAAUUCCAGCUCCAGUAGCGUAUAUUAAAAUUGUUGCAGUUAGAAAGCUCGUAGUUGGAUUUUUGUUGCUCCUUGUGCGAGGCUCCGCGCUGGUUUUGCUGGUGUGUGGGUUUUGCCGGACAACAUUCACGCCCAUGUCGCGUAGCAAUACGUGGGAUGGGCACAUUACUUUGAGAAAAUUAGAGUGUUUCAAGCGGGCGUUUGCCUUGAAUACUACAGCAUGGAAUAAGACCAACGAGCUUUCGUCCUUUUGGUGGGUUCCGGACCAAGUCAUGAUUGAUAGGGAUGGUUGGGGGUGCUAGAAUUCCGAGGCCAGAGGUGAAAUUCUUGGAUUCUCGGAAGUCUAACUAGUGCGAAAGCAUUCACCAAGGACAUUUUCUUUAAUCAAGAACGAAAGUUGGGGGAUCGAAGACGAUCAGAUACCGUCGUAGCCUCAACCAUAAACGAUGCCAACUGGGGAUUCGUUUACGUCUCAGCCGAUCUGGGUAAAACCGUUCGGCUAUCGACCAAAUGAGCACCCUGUGAGAAAUCAAAGUUUUCAGGUUCCGGGGGGAGUAUGGUCGCAAGGCUGAAACUUAAAGGAAUUGACGGAAGGGCACCACCAGGAUUGGAGCCUGCGGCUUAAUUUGACCCAACACGGGAAAACUUACCAGGUCCAGACAUAGUGAGGAUUGACAGAUUGAAGCUCUUUCUUGAUUCUAUGGGUGGUGGUGCAUGGCCGUUCUUAGUUGGUGGUGUGGAUCGUCUGGUUAAUUCCGUUAACGAACGAGACCUCGGCCCUGUUUUUUUAACUAGUAUGCGUUGGCUUCAGCCAGUCGUCAUGCUUCUUAGGGGGACUAUCGUCGUUCAGGCGGUGGAAGAUCGAGGCAAUAACAGGUCAGUAAUGCCCUUCGAUGUCUUGGGCCGCACGCGCGCUACACUGGUUUGUUCAAUGUGCUCUACGUCUCACGCAAGUGAGGCCGCCUUUCUCGAGAGGGAUGGGGAAUCAUUUAAAGCAAACCGUGCUGGGGAUAGAUCAUUGCAAUUAUUGGUCUUGAACGAGGAAUUCCUAGUAAGCGCACGUCAUCAGCGUGCAUUGAUUUCGUACCUGCCCUUUGUACACACCGCCAGUCGCUACUACCGAUUGAAGGCUCAAGUGAGCUGUAGGGAGAUCUGCCUCUCGGGGUGGGUAGAACUACAUCAAACUUGACUCUUUAGAGGAAGUAUAAGUCGUAACACGGUU
rnacentral:rRNA from 1 species